AACGAACGCUGGCGGCAUGCCUAACACAUGCAAGUCGAACGAGACCUUCGGGUCUAGUGGCGCACGGGUGCGUAACGCGUGGGAACCUGCCCUUAGGUUCGGAAUAACUCCCCGAAAGGGGUGCUAAUACCGGAUAAUGUCUUCGGACCAAAGAUUUAUCGCCUUUGGAUGGGCCCGCGUUGGAUUAGCUAGUUGGUAGGGUAAAAGCCUACCAAGGCGACGAUCCAUAGCUGGUCUGAGAGGAUGAUCAGCCACACUGGGACUGAGACACGGCCCAGACCCCUACGGGAGGCAGCAGUGGGGAAUAUUGGACAAUGGGCGAAAGCCUGAUCCAGCAAGGCCGCGUGAGUGAUGAAGGCCUUAGGGUUGUAAAGCGCUUUUACCCGGGAUGAUAAUGACAGUACCGGGAGAAUAAGCUCCGGCUAACUCCGUG
rnacentral:rRNA from 1 species